rnacentral:tRNA from 1 species
GGCUCGGUCGUUCAACGGAUAGGACACACCCCUGCGAAGGGUGUAAUCCAGGUUCGAUUCCUGGUCGAGCCG